rnacentral:lncRNA from 1 species
CAGGGGUGUAUGUCAUAUCGGCCAUAGCGGCUGGCCCUUCACUUGAAUUUUCGUUCUUGUCCGAUCAAGAAGUCCUCCGGUGGCCAUUGUAAGAAUUUACCUUUUGGUUGAAAUAAGUUAUAAGAAGAUUAAUUUACGUUGGAGGAAGUUUUUAUUUUUUUGUUUGGGGUUGUGAAGAGUUUUUGGUUCCAAUAUUUUUUGAAAAAAACAAUGGCCACUGGAGGGAGACUAUAACAAAAUUUAAGUCACAUUUGGAUACUUCAGUUAUUUAUGGAAUAAGCAAUAAUUUUGGGGUUAUUUUGGGUUUGGAUUGGAAGAGUUUUGGAUGUUUUUUUUUCCUUUCUGGAAUAGACACUGAGUUUUACCGACACUAGCAAGUACCUCCUCGUCAAUCCUCUGUGUUGUUGUUCCUUACCUCCCGAGGAUUGGGAAGAUCGGAGGAUACCUACCUGGCUCUCCCAUCAUCAACCUCACCAGGAUUUUGGAGAAGCCACAGGCCUACUUUUGUAGAAACGCCAGGUUUUUAUAAUAAAAUUUAAAUUUUUAAUCCUUUUAAAUAACAGUUUUCAAUUUUCAAUUUUUUUUCAAUAACUCAAAUACAUAACCUUAAUAAUAAUAUAAAUUCACCUUCUUAAAACCUAUUAGCUUUAUAAUAUUCAAUAAUUUUUUGUCAACCAAUUUUAUAUUUCAUUUUCAUGAUUGUAUCAGGUAUUUAAAAUAAUCUCAGGAUUAUAAACUAUCUGGGACGAUACUGUGCACACUAUCGAAGGGUUUAUUUCCUACUUAAUAACAUUUAUCCCAUUCACCAGAUAUUGUCAGGUUGUCACUUCCGAUCAGAUACGGGAUUGUCAGCCAAUCUUGUAUUCUACAGUAAUAAUUAGUUUGUACAUACAUAUUUGGAUCAAAUCACUUCCUUAGUAGAAUAAAUUCAUUACAUAUAUUAGUUUUUUCAUACUGUAAAACCUGCAUUAUCGACAGGAGUGUACUACCAUAGUACGUCGGAUAUUUAGCUAGUGUAUAAAAUUGUAUAUAGGGUUUAUAGGUAUUUUUUUUUUAUUAAAUGUGGUUGUACAUA